UGCGUUCGAUAAGUCAUAACGACUCUCGGCAACGGAUAUCUCGGCUCUCGCAUCGAUGAAGAACGUAGCGAAAUGCGAUACGUGGUGUGAAUUGCAGGAUCCCGUGAACCAUCGAGUUUUUGAACGCAAGUUGCGCCCGAAGCCACUAGGCCAA
rnacentral:rRNA from 1 species